rnacentral:ncRNA from 1 species
GGGUUUAGAACGUCGUGAGACAGUUCGGUCCCUAUCUUCCGUGGGUGUAGGAUACUUGAGAGGAGUUGCCCCUAGUACGAGAGGACCGGGGUGAACGAUCCACUGGUGGACCAGUUGUCAUGCCAAUGGCAGUGCUGGGUAGCUAUGAUCGGACAGGAUAACCGCUGAAGGCAUCUAAGCGGGAAGCCCCCCUCAAAACAAGGUAUCCCUGAGGACCGUGGUAGACCACCACGUCGAUAGGCCGGAGAUGUAAGCGCUGCAAAGCGUUCAGUUGACCGGUACUAAUUGUCCGAUAGGCUUGAUUUG